UUAUAAAACGAGGGAACCAAGAUUUGGAUGUGAUGACUUUCCUAAGGUCACACAGCUGGUAAGAGGCAGAGCUGGGAGGAAACCCAGGGCUGGAUGUGGUUGGAGAGGAACGGCAACAGCGUUGACUGGCUUCACGUUAGAUUCCUGACUGUUGAUCUCAAGUGAGCACUUAACGCUGCCCAGUAAUCACACAGUAUUUCUCUGAUCUAAUCAUCUUUUCACUCUCUAAGUCAGUGUUCCCCAGAGAAACAGAACCAAAAGGAUAUGUAGAGAUAUAUAGAAAGUGACUUAUUAUGAGAGAUUGGCUCAUGCUAUUAUGAAGACUGAAAAAGCCUGCGAUCUGCCAUCCGCAAGCUGGAAGCCCAAGAAAGAUGGUGGUGUAGGUCCAGUCCAAGCCUGAAGGCCUGAGAACUAGGGGAAUCAAUGGUGUAAGUCCCAGUCCCAGUCUAAAGGCCCAAGAGCUCCAAUGUCUGAGGGCAGGAGGAGAUGUUUGUCCCAGCUCAAGCAAAGAGAGCACAUUUGCCCCUCCUCUGCCUUUUUGUUCUAUUCAGACCCUCAACAGAUUGGAUGAUGCCAACCCACACUGAUGACAUACAGAAGAAAGGCCAUAUGAGCAUAGCUAGAAGGUGGAUGUCUACAAGCCAGGAAGAGAGCUCUUCAUAGAAUCUGACCAUGCCAGUACACUGACCUUGGCCUUCCCAGCCUCCAGAACUGAAUUCAGGGAAAGCUCAGCUGUGUGGUUCUGUCGUGAAGUUGUCGUCAAGACGUUGGCUGGAGCUGCAGUUGACUGAACCUUUGACCAGGGCUGGAGGAUCCACUUCCAAGAUGGCUCCCAUGCAUGGUUUGUAAAUUGCUGUAGUUGCUGGUGGAAGACCUCAGUUCCUCCUUGGGGGUCCUGCUUGGUAGCCCUCCUCACAGAGUGGCUUGAAUCACCUCAUGGCCUGGUAACCUAGCUUCCACCACAGCAAAUGAUCCAAGAUGCCAAGACAGAGGCUGCAAUCCCUUUUAUGACUUAGCCUCAGCACUCAUCUGCACCAUACCCUGUCGAUCGUGCAAAGUCUGUUGGAGAGAGGAGACCACAGAAGUGCAUGAAUAGCAGAAGGUGUCAAGAGUUGAGCCAAGCUACUCCAUGGUGUUGCUGCCUUAGCAUCCAUUUUGUUUAGCCAAGUGGCCUGCAGGGACCUUAAACUGACACUAGCCCCCUCAUGCAAGCACAUAUCCCAGAUAGCAGCCUGCAGAGUCACAAGCAAACGAGGAGCUUGGAAGUUGCCGCUCUGUUGUAACAAGUAAAAAGCUGAACAAACUGAAAAGUCUGCAACUCUUCUUAGAUCCGUAACAGAAAUGAGGUCACAGGGCAAACUUCUGCCCGCCACACUGGAGGUACAGACAGAAUCAUUGUGAAGAUUAAAUGACACAUAAUAAGCAAAAACACCCAGGAUACAGUAAGUGCGCAGUAGAGGUUCACGUCCAAAUAAACUGCCUGCCUGCAAAGCUUUGUCUUAGGCUCUGCUUUCAAGGGAAUCCAGAUUCAACCAAGUACCUACUAUGCGCCAUCACUGUGCUUUCAUGAAAGAGAAGCUGAAGAAAUGACAACCUAAUAGAAACACGCAGUGCUCUACUCCAAAGACCUUGACUCCAGAAUAAAGUGUUGUCUUAAUCACAGCUUUAGUUCUUCAAACCUUGGCUUUAGGAUUAAUAGCUCACAGCUCUAUGUUCAAAGAAAUAUGGUGCAUCCACCAUUAAUAAAGUGAAGCUUCCUUUGGCACAAUUAUUUGGAAAGUCCCAAAUAUAGUUGAUGUGGAUAGACGUCACUACACUGGCAAAUGGGAACCCAUCAAGUAUCUACAAAUAAAAGAGCUGACUCAUUGAAGUUACUUAAUAAAGAUGGUGAAUGGAUAACUGAAUAUUUGAAUAAAGAGCUGAGAAGAUAUAAAAAGUGAAGCGUCCUAGAGACAUGGGUCACUGGCAGCACGACUGCAGCCCUUUCUAAGGAAUGGAUUCCAUCCAUGGCCUUUGCUCCAUGAAGUCUUUGCUCAUUCUGUCGACUGCACCCACGCCUCCACUCCAGCACACACACACAGAUUGGACAAGCCUGACCCAAGAGUCUUUCCCUUGGAAAUUCGGAAUAAGAAAAAAUGGAGUGAAUUACCAGCAAGAGAUUUUCCUGGAGUUGUCAAAUCGCCACAGGCUUGAGAAAGCCAAAGCCAUGUGCAAGAUGAAAUUAUGAAGUGGCCUGAAGAAGAGCGAAUAAGCUGGUCGGGAAAGGAUGACCUUGAGAGAAUCUAAGUCAGAGAGAGGCCAGGAAAGGGGACAUGAAAGGGACCAAGGGAAAAAGAUCAGUGCUUAAAACCAGGUAACAUCCAGGGCCUUGUGGCUGCGAUCCAUUCUAAUUUGUGUGAAAACUUCAAAUAAUACCCACGUCUCUUCCCUAAAGUCAAGUGAGUCUCUGUUCCUUAGGGUUCAAAGAGCAUUGAUGAAAACAGUACGAUUCUGUAGGCCCCUGGUCCAGUAACAACCUAUUAGGAGAAUUUUCAAAUUUGUACAAUUUUCCUUGCCAACCCCCCCCCCCAUUUUUAAUGCCUUAUAACUGUGUAUCUUACAGUCAAAAUUCCCAGUUUACUGUUUCCUAAAAUGUUUAUUUAGACAUAGUGUAGGAAAGAGGAAGAAGAUGGAAAGCAAACAAUGGCCACACCCCACCUUUCCCAAAGCUAACCUAGAGUUCUUUUCCCAGGUCACACCCACAUUCUUCCACCUCCUUCUGGAUGGAGCCCAUUGCAAAGCUUUGAAGUCCAAUUUGCAAAUACAUCUGGGUGAUGCAAAAAUCUGCUUGCUCCGGGAAGUUACUGGGCUGCUACCUUUAGUCAUAGUAAAGGCAUGUAUCUUUCCCAUUGCUGGUGAUGUUUUUAUGAGAUUGGUUAUGUUAUGCAUUUGUUGAGUAAUAAUAACACUGCAUUUGUUAUUUUAUAACAUGACCGAAGAGUGUAUUAAAACAUGCCACGAGUAUUAUGUACAGCAACAGAUUUAUGAAACAUUAGUUAAAAGAUGAUUGUUAUUUAGACCAACAAAAUCUUUAAAUAAAAAUAUUUGAAUAAU